rnacentral:lncRNA from 1 species
UGGUGGACACCUUUAGUCCCAGCAGUCAGGAGGCAGACAGAUCUCUGUGAGUUCAAGGUCAGCCUCAUCUACAAAGCCUGUUCCAGGACAGCCAGGACUAUACAGAGUAACCCUGGCUCAACAAAACAAAACAAAAAGUCUAGGAAGCUUAUGUAUUCAAGGGCCAUAAAUAGAUUUUACAUACCAAGGAGCCCAUAACCACUAGCACCACAGCUACUCAUCUCAUGACUACUUUUGAAGCAAAAAUUUGAAAUUCUUGAUUUAGUAAGAUAAUAAUAGAUAUUUAGGCAAAAAGUAAAAUUUUAGAUUGCUUACAAAUUUAAGACCAAGUACCGAUGACACAAAUAGAUUUGUCUUCUGAUGUCGGUGUGUAUCUAAUAUAUCAAAAAAAAAAAAAAAAAAAAAAAAAAAAAAAAAAAGCUUGUUCAAUCAAGCCAAACAGAUUUCAUUUAAAGGAGCAGGUAUUGGUCACUUUGCAUGUUUUUAACAUAAUCUACAGUUUUCACAUAAUAUGUUGAUGAAAUUCUAACCUGUACCCUAUCCAUUUCCAGACACAGACACAUACGGUACAAACUGUAAUAGGAUUGCUUCUAAAUAGUAGUUUAUAAAGCAAUCACUUUGAGGGCCUUAACCAUAACUCUUACUUGAGUUUUUAAGAUGGUUUAAGUAUUCAGCAGAAAUCCCAGUGUUCUGAAUGAAAUCAUCUUUGUCCUCUAUUCCAAUUCUUUUAAGCAUUACUAAGAGCAGAACAAUAGUUGUGUUCUAUUUUGUUUUUAAGUCUCACUGCUUUCAAUACAGUGGACUUGGUUCUUUCUUUCAACAGAACAUUAAUGUUUAACCUUAGUAAAUCCUUUAGAUAAAUUCAUAUUUUGAAAAACCUUUUCCAAUGCUCUUUGAAAUUAGGUAAUUGGAUUGUUUUUAGUAUUGAUAAUGAAACUGAGGGUUGUGUAACUCUACCACAUUUCUAGUCCAAAGACUUACUUCUUAAUAGAGUAAAAUACCUAUGUCUUUAAUAGUUUUUUAAUUGAUAUUCAUAAAUUCUUUUGUAUUUCCUGGAAUAGAAUUCCAUAUAUUAAUUAAAAUUUUAACUCUUAAUCUUUUUUCAACAAAGAUUCAAGAAGAAAGCAAUCUUCAUCUAUUUCUCUGUACAUUGGCAGUUUUAGUGUGUGGCCUUCUUUUUUUCUUUUAAUAACAUUUUGUUGAUUCUUUGUGAGUUUCACAUCAUCCUCUCCCCGUCCCCUCAGAUCCACUCUUUGCAGCUUCUUCCCC